CUAGGUCCUUUAUAGUAUUUUUUGUUUCAUGUUUAAAUUUAUUUUUCUCUAACGAAGUAUAAUUUACAGAGAGUAAAAUACACAGAUAUUGAGGUCACAGUUUGAUGGAUCUUAACAUAUAUCUAGACUCACGUAACCUGAUGUUUAGAUUCUAAAAUUCUCUUACUGGUCAUCCAGAUUCUAAAAUUCUCUUACUGGUUGUCUGGAUUCUAAAAUUCUCUUACUGGUCGACCUCGUCCUCACCCCCACCCAUGCUUCAGUGACAACAAGGAGGGACAGUGGCUAGGAUGCUGCCACGUUCCGCGCAGCCUGAAGUGGUGGAGGGUGCAGGGGGAGCGGCCCCAGGAGCAGGUUAACCUGAUGUUGCUGUGCUUGGUGCAUGAGUAUCCUUCACGGUUACGUCUUCAUUGUGCAUUCUGCCCUUCAUUCGGAAGAGCCGUUCUUUGUCUAGUUCCAUGCGUUUUACGUGAUGCACAUUCAGUGUUUACGGAGGUUUCUUUCCACAUCAUUUCCCUGUUGUCUCCUGAUGACAUCCAGCUGCUGGUAAUGUCCUCAGGAAGAAGACAUAGAAACAAAGCUCCCUGCGUGCUGAGAGUUGAAACUCCAUUCCCGCACUGUCGAAAAGGUCUAGAGAAUGAGUCUCUUAGGCAACCACCGAUAAUAUAAGAUUAUGGAAUUAUUUGAAGACUUUUUGGACUGAGUUUUCGGAAUCCAGUUUGUAGCUUGCACUCACUGCACGUGUCAGUGAACCAGCUCAUGCGCCUGCCAUCUGGAAGGAUCGUUGUGGCCAGCCAUAGCAUCCUUGCCACUCACCUUCCCUCCUCAUGCGCCUUCUACGUGUGACUAGCAUCUUCUGCCACAGAGCGCGGCUGUGGAGAAACACUAACCCACGUUCUGUCUCUGUAGAUGUGUGGGUUCUGCACCUUUCACAGAAAUGGAAUUGCAGAAUAUGUGCUCUUUUGAGCCUGAUUGCUUUCACAUGGUGUGUUGUCAAGGGUCAUCUGAAUUGCAGCUUGUAUUAGUACUUCAUUUUUAUGGCCAAAUAACAUUUCAUUGUCUGGAUAUACUGCAGUUUGUUUACUCAUUGGUUGACGGACAUCUGUGUUGUUUCCACCUUGGGGCUGUUGGGAAUGGUGCUGCUGUAAACAUUCAUGGGCAGCGUCUUGUGGGGACAGGUGUGUCAUUUCUGCUGGGUACGCAUGUCUCCAGGAGUGGCAGUCCUGGGCCACUGCUCCACGCUUAACCUCUCAAGCACGUGCCAGACAGCCUUCACUAGGCUGUGCCAGUUCACGUCCCCAUCAGCAGUGUGCCAGGCGUUCCCGUCCUUCUAACUUUGUUUCCGUUUUUCUAUCUUUUAUCUCUUUUUUUUGACUCAUCUCUGUCCUCUGUGUUCCGCUGUUUGUUUCUCCCUGCGCUCCUUCCAAUCUCCACUUCG